rnacentral:tRNA from 1 species
AGGGGCAUGGUGUAAUGUUAACAUACGUGAUUCCAAACCACAAGAUUGAGGUUAAAUUCCUUGUGCCCUUG